CCGCUUUAAGACGAGUCCGCGUCUGAUUAGUUAGUUGGCAGGGUAACGGCCUACCAAGACGACGAUCAGUAGCCGGCCUGAGAGGGUGGCCGGCCACACUGGGACUGAGACACGGCCCAGACUCCUACGGGAGGCAGCAGUGGGGAAUUUUCCGCAAUGGGCGCAAGCCUGACGGAGCAACGCCGCGUGAAUGAAGAAGGCCUUCGGGUCGUAAAUUUCUGUCUUUUGGGGCGAAACAGCAGCGCAAAUAGCGUUGUGAAUGACGGUACCAAAGGAGGAAGC
rnacentral:rRNA from 1 species